UGCGUAGGCGGAAUAUUAAGUCAGUGGUGAAAUCCUGCGGCUCAACCGUAGAACUGCCAUUGAUACUGAUAUUCUUGAAUGUAGUUGAGGUAGGCGGAAUGUGUAAUGUAGCGGUGAAAUGCUUAGAUAUUACACAGAACACCGAUUGCGAAGGCAGCUUACUAAACUAUGAUUGACGCUGAUGCACGAAAGCGUGGGGAGCGAACAGGAUUAGAUACCCUGGUAGUC
rnacentral:rRNA from 1 species